GCCCGGAUGGGGUAGCUUGGAUAUCCUGGAGCCCUGCGGAGGCUCAGACUCGGGUUCGAAUCCCGACCCGGGCA
rnacentral:tRNA from 1 species